CACAACCGAUGUAUUAAAAAUGCAAUCGCUAAGAGGCAUGGAGCCCACCUGCCUCUAAACCAACUGAGCACACCAACCUCCAAACAUCUCCUGCUCACGGGGUGUAGGCAAAGUCCACCCUGUGCAGUCUGCCCAAAAAAAAAAACAACAAACAAACAAGAAGUUUUAUAUCAUCGUAACCGGGGUUAUCCCAAUAGCCACACAGGGCAGUCAAAAGACUCCCACCGGAUUUUGCAGGGGGAAAGAGAAAGGAGAGAGACCAAGAGGAGGCUCUGCCCCACAAGAACAAGCAGAUCUCUUCUCGUCUUGGAAAAACAAGGAGGACUAUUUCACAUCGGAGGCCAUAAAUACACUUCACUCGGCAUUCGGUACGGGGCAGGUAGGAGCCAGAAAUUGGGGACUGCCAUCCCCCGGCCUACGGUGAGCCCAGUGACUCCAUCCUUCUCUUUGACUUCAAACCCAGUAAGCCCAGACCUCAUUUCCAGAAAAACCUCAUAUGGACUCUGUGGGGUACGUUGCCAGUCUUGUGACCACUGGUCAGGAGGUUUUGGGGUGGACACCAGGUGCCCUUGUGACAGCAGAGCAAUGCCGAGGGCUCUGCAGAAACUUGGAAGUAGACCCAAGAGAGAGGCCAGCAGUACUCAGUUUUGCCCUGAUGCAGGGAACUUUACAAGUUACCCACAUUUCUGGAUAUUCUUCACCAAGCCUGCAGUGCUUCUAAGCUAUAUCUCUGGGGAAAGGAAGUUUUUCUUCCUAGAUUUCCAAAGACCCUGACUUACCCUAUGAAGAAAACUUCUGCAGAGACUCUCAGGGGUCCUUAGCUCCCUAAUUCCUGUUCAUUUCACUGACGAUACAUGCUGUUUGCUGAAACUCCUUGAAUCUUCCCUUUAUUGGGGCUCACCCAAGCACCUACUCUGGGUCACUGGCACAUCCAGAGCUGCACCCAACUUGCCUUAGACGCUCCUGGAAGUCCCAUCACCUCAUGGGGUGCCUUGGUAAAACAACCAGCCUCUUCAGGCUUUCGAAAUGAUGACCCCAGGAGCUCGCUGGGGUUCGGGGAAGAGGAGCCUGCCAGGAUGAGAGCUGCCUGACAUCAUCCGGAUCCGGUCCAGGACCAUCAGACACCUGCUGAGCCUCCCAGUGUAAUUCCACGGCAGCUGCUGCCCUAGCCCACAAGUGCACAAGCGGGAACAUGAGCUGUUUGGAUCACUUGCCUCAAACAUUGUUCUCCGGAGUGUUUGAAAAAGGCCUAAUGAAAUGUGACUCAGAAAUAACUGACAAGUGCCAGCCUCACCUUCUUAUUGUUUCAUCAAAAUGGGAAAGACAGUGAGGAGAAGAGUCAACCUUCUCCAUGAGAUCUGCUGUCCCAACUUGCCCGCAACUUGCAGGCUGACUGAAAUGUUGACACAGAGUUGACAUCUCCACUUGAUUUAUGGAGAGCUUGAACGGCGGGGAAAAAAUUAAACAUUAUAAAUCAAUGAGUAACAUCCAUAACCCUGAAGUGCUUGUUGUAAACAAUACAAAACACCGGCCUAAUUUUUAUGUGUGUAAUUUACGACGAGCAAUUCCUUCCAAAUGAGAAAAUUUAAAAGGAAAAAACCAUCACUUGUUAGAAUAUCAUUAAUUCAAUCAGAUGAGAACUAAGCCAGCCAUUGUUCUUAAUGGUGGAAAGUUUCAUGGGAGCUAAUUGCUUAUGUGUGGUGCCUUUUAGCGUGUUUUUGCUCAGAUGAGCAGAGGAGAUCUGUUAGUGCUAGAGGAGAACCACGGCCAGGGGUGAGAGUGGCUGGGGGGCAUGGCUGGACCUUCUGCGCUCAAGUCCUGGGACAGUCCCAUCAUGGCCCAGCUUCAUCCCAGCAUUGCCCAGCUCACUCUUCUUACCAGGGAUUUAUGCAGAGAUUCUGGUCUAUAGCAGAGGAGUUUGGCCAGGCUUCUUGCCUCCUGGUCAGAGGACAGCAAAGUUCUCUGAAUACCACGAGGGAGGUCAGGUAUCUCCUGGGAAAGCCUGGUAGCUCUGGGUAAGCAAAGAGAACUAAACGUGUUCCCAAAGCCAGGAGCGAUGCCCACACUGAUAGGGCAUUUCACAGCUGGAGAUGCCAUCCACCAUGCAGUCUGCCAAGCCUUGCUCCUAUCUACUGAAAUGCCUGUUAAAAUCUCAUGGCAAGGAGGUGGUAUAAAGUCAAACCAGAAAUCCUGCUCUUAUUUUUGUUUGGCUCGUUGCUUGCUGUCAGCCAAAACUUCUCCUCCUAGCAUUCCUCACCUCCCUCGGUAAAAGCGGGUAGGUGGGAGCUACAAGCUGCAGCAGGGCAAUGCCACACAAAACCAAUUGCCCAAGCUCUGCAAGCACAGAGUAAGAAAUGUCCCCUUCCUCAUAAACCAUAGCUGUGGUUUUAAUUAAUCUGUUUUAAUUUGCUCUGAAGCAAAUUAAUAUCAAUCCCAGUGCAGCGCGCAGCGUUUCAGACAGAACAUCUCUUCCUCUUCACUAGCCCAAAAAAAACAAGCUUGAUUCUGCCAUGGACAGUUUAGAGAGACCUGGUUUGCAGAAAUGUGGAGUAGAGGCAAGAAUCAAACCCUGACUGAAAUCACAGCCUGGAGCUGUGCUCACAAGAGCCCUCUUUGUGUUUAUCCCCAGCCCAGCAGCGGCUGCGUUUUCGCAGCAGAUCUCGUGGCUCUGGGCGCAGGGGAACGCUGUUUGCCUUUCGGUGAUUAACAGAUUCCAGAGUGCUUGGGGAUGGAAAGUUCUUCAUAAAUAAAUAAAUGGAUCUAACAGAGAUGUAAUGAGAC
rnacentral:lncRNA from 1 species